CCUACGGGAGGCAGCAGUGAGGAAUAUUGGUCAAUGGCCGGAAGGCUGAACCAGCCAUGCCGCGUGAAGGUCAGUGCCCUAUGGGCGUUAAACUUCUUUUGUGCGGGAGCAAUAAUGGUCACGUGUGGCCAGACGAGAGUACCGUACGAAUAAGCAUCGGCUAACUCCGUGCCAGCAGCCGCGGUAAUACGGGGGAGGCAAGCGUUUGCCGGAUUUCUUGGGUUUAAAGGGGGCGUAGGCUGUGAGGUAAGUCAGCGGGGAAAUGCCCCCGCUCAACGGGGUGAAGUGCCAUUGAUACUGCCUUGCUGGAAUGCGGAUGCCGUGGGAGGAAUGUGUGGUGUAGCGGUGAAAUGCAUAGAUAUCACACAGAACACCGAUUGCGAAGGCAUCUCACGAAUCCGCGAUUGACGCUGAUGCACGAAAGCGUGGGUAUCAAACAGGAUUAGAUACCCGGGUAGUC
rnacentral:rRNA from 1 species